AGACCACGGCCACACAGCCGGGAAAAACCACCAGAACCUGCUGCUAUUAGCCUCCCUUUAGAUGAAUUUGCUCUAAAUCAAAGCAGUUCAGACUUUUGCAAAGGUAUUUUAUUAUCAAUGUCUUUGUGAUGACUCCAGAAGAGCCAGACCCUCACAUACAUGAGCCUUUGUAAUAAUCAUUCACUGUUGUUAACUUCACUAAGUUCAAGUGAGCGUGUGUGUCAAUAUUCCAUUGAAAAGGGCUGUUGAGAUUGAGGGUGGGGGUUUUGAGGACCAAGUUCCAGGGGUGCCUGUUUCACUGGAGACCCAUGGAGCAAGUCAUUUGUUUUCAGAUGAUGUUUGGGUUGGGUCUGGGUAGUGUGGAGAAUGUUCAGGAAUCUUUGUUUUAGGGCUGUCAAGAGCUCUGGAAAACACAGGCCAUCUAAAUGUUCUUGCUUGGGAUCAGAAUAUCCAAAAAUUGUCCCACACAUUAGCACAAAGCUACACCCUUCAGAAUUCUCAAUGGGUGUGACAUGAUUUGGAAACCAGAGAAAAUCUUGCAGUACAGCAAAUGAACACAAAUAGUGUUUACUGUUUCCCAACACUUACAGUGCAAUCUAAAGGGGGCCCAAAAUCACUCAAGAGGUAGUGUGACCCUGAACCCACUUCGGGGUACUUAUGCCAGUGCCAGAACACUUAUGUGAGUGCUGGAGAGCAGUGCAGCAGCAGUGCAAUGCCUGGGCACCAGUGCAGCCAUGGUGGCAGCGUUCCUCCAGAACAGGAGCCUGUGGCAACGCAGAAGGGGGUUUUCGGGGGAGCAGGGUCCAUACGAGUCAGCUUCCUGAGCCCUUUAGGCUUGAUAAUGCCGCCAUUUGCUAGUGCAAAUUUACAGUGGCAAAAAUAGUGGUGCAGCCCAUUGUGCUGCAUGCAUAAGCCACUUUCAUGCGGGAAAAGGGAGCAUCACUGUUGAAUUGCUGGCUGCAGCACAGCAAUCCUCUUAGGAGGUGAUGCGACUGCAUGGUGGCUGUGCCAUCCCCAGCUGUGGCACAGCUACCCCUCUCUCCUCUGAAUUGCACUGGAAAAAAUGUAAUGACAAAUCCCAUUGGGACCAGAGUUGUGAGGAAAUAUUAGAGCAGAGCUCAUAAGAAGGAUUAGCAGAUCUUAGAAAGUACAUACAGAAGGUAGUACAGAAUCCGAACAUGGAUCCUUGUCAAAGCCAAGGAGACGUUCUGAAGAAGGAAGGACAGCCUCAAGCAGAAAGAUAGGCAGGAGAGAAAGCUGGGGGAAUUGUGUGCAAGGAAACCAGAAAAUAAAGUUGAAGGACAAGCCAAAAUGUCUUCAGCCCCAACUAGACAUGAUGGUGUCAAUAUGUGUGAUAAGAAUGCAAAAAGGAAUUCGUAGACAUGGUUGUCAGAUGGAGUUUAUGGAAGCUCUGGAUUUAGUAACAAAUUCAUGCUAGAGUAAUUCUCAUUUGAGAGUGAUGUGGUGAUAAAGUAUUUCCUAAAGCAAAGUCAAACCUGGGAUACUUUCAUAUGAUCUUCUGUAGCGUUCAGAUUAACUGGGAAUUUAGCACUGGCUCGUUUUAGAAACGAUUAAGCCAUGGUUGUAUUAAACUUACUAUGGUUGAUGUGAAUGUCUGCAGGCAAACCACUUGACAAACUAUGGUUAGAAAGGGCCAAAUGUACGUUCAGGAUUCUUGGGUUCCUCACAACUACACAGCAGCUGUGAGCGCAUGGGAGGAGUAUUCUGUGCAGCAAAAAUAGAGAAAUAAUUCCCCACAGUGUUGUCUUGGCACAGAAAAAUAACCUGGGGGAAGGCAGAAACCCUCCUCCUCCCCUCUGUGGUGGUGCUCUGAGCCUGUUGAGGAUCUUGUUUAUUUCUUAAAAGCCAUUUCAUGAAGCUGCUGUGUGACUGCGGGGAGCCAAACUGUAAAAAUCCAAGUGUGUAGUUUGGCCCUUAGGGUCAAAUCAGGAUAUGAACCCAGGACUUGAAGUUGGUUUAUUAAGACACAAUUUAUUGUAACUAUGGUUUCACAUAUCUGAAUUGCGACAUGAUGGCUUAAUCUUGGUUUGUUCUCUGACAAAGGCCUCCCAGAUGACUGAAAGAAAUAAAACCAAUAUUGGUGGAGACAAACCAGGGUUUAAGUGUAUGAACUAAAUCUUGAUUUCACAGAAUAACCAUUAUUAAAAUAAACCAUGAUGUCACUCUGUGUCUGAAUCAA